AUAGGUUCCUCCCUCAGCAGAUAAAACCAGCCCUGCCAUCACCCUGUAGCUCUGGCAAGGAGCCCAGCCCCAGGAUCCCGUUCUGUGAUCCGGAAAGAACACAGACCACCCGCCAUGGAGUUUCGGAUGAACUGGGUGGUCUUGUUUGCUCUCUUACAAGGUGUCCAGGGUGAGGAGAAGCUGGUGGAGUCUGGAGGAGGCCUGGUGCAGCCUGGGGGGUCUCUCAGACUCUCCUGUGUCGGCUCUGGAUUCACCUUCAGUAGUUAUGAAAUCAGCUGGGUCCGCCAGGCUCCAGGGAAGGGGCUGGAGUGGCUGGCAGCUAUUGGUUGUGGUAGUUAUAGUGGUAGCACCUACUACGCAGACUCUGUGAAGGGCCGAUUCACCAUCUCCAGCGACAACUCUCAGAACACGGCCUAUCUGCAAAUGAACAGCCUGAGAACCGAAGACACGGCCCGCUAUUACUGUGCAACAGGCACAGUGAGGGGAAGGCAGUCUGAGCCCAGACAAAAACCUCCCUGCAGGGACACAAGGAAGAAUCAGACCUCCCCUGGGAAGGUGCACCUGCUCCAUCUGGAGGGUCAGCAGAUUCGGGAAUUCGGGCCUAGAGACCUCUGCCUGAACACAGACCCCCCCACCAUGGAGUCUGGGCUCAGCUGGGCAGUUUGGCGGAUGGACCACACGGAAAUUUCUGGAGAUCAGGAGAUGCUGAAAUGGACCCAGCGUGAGGUGCAGCUGGUGGAGUCUGGGGGAGGCCUGGGGGGCCUCUGGGACUCUCCUGUGCAGCUUGUGGAUGCAGCUUGGGUAGCUCCUACCUGA